rnacentral:rRNA from 1 species
GGACGAACGCUGGCGGCGUGCUUAACACAUGCAAGUCGAACGGAAAGGCCCUGCUUUUGUGGGGUGCUCGAGUGGCGAACGGGUGAGUAACACGUGAGUAACCUGCCCUUGACUUUGGGAUAACUUCAGGAAACUGGGGCUAAUACCGGAUAGGAGCUCCUGCUGCAUGGUGGGGGUUGGAAAGUUUCGGCGGUUGGGGAUGGACUCGCGGCUUAUCAGCUUGUUGGUGGGGUAGUGGCUUACCAAGGCUUUGACGGGUAGCCGGCCUGAGAGGGUGACCGGCCACAUUGGGACUGAGAUACGGCCCAGACUCCUACGGGAGGCAGCAGUGGGGAAUAUUGCACAAUGGGCGGAAGCCUGAUGCAGCAACGCCGCGUGCGGGAUGACGGCCUUCGGGUUGUAAACCGCUUUCGCCUGUGACGAAGCGUGAGUGACGGUAAUGGGUAAAGAAGCACCGGCUAACUACGUG